UACGACUACAUAUCAGGCAUAUCAAUAAGCGGAGGAAAAGAAACUAACAAGGAUUCCCUUAGUAACGGCGAGUGAAGCGGGAAGAGCUCAAAUUUGAAAUCUUCAAGGUUUUACCUUGACGAAUUGUAGUUUAAAGAAGUGUUUUCUGUUGAAGUUUUGGUAAAAGUUCUUUGGAAUAGGACAUCAUAGAGGGUGAGAAUCCCGUAUUUGACCAUUAUUUUCCAGCUGUGUGAUACACUUUCAAAGAGUCGGAUUGUUUGGGAAUGCAGUCCAAAAUGGGUGGUAAAUUUCAUCUAAAGCUAAAUAUUGGCGAGAGACCGAUAGCGAACAAGUACCGUGAGGGAAAGAUGAAAAGAACUUUGAAAAGAGAGUUAAACAGUACGUGAAAUUGUCAAAAGGGAAGCGUUUGACACCAGUGUUGUUUUCCUCGAAAAUCAAUUAAAAAGAGUUGGAUUUUGUGUUGUAUUGACCUUAACAGCUUGCUUCACUCUUUUCCAGCUUUUUUAAAUGCACUUUUCGUUUAACAAGUCAGCAUCAGUUUCUUUUGUUGUAAAAGGGUCAUUGGAAGGUGGCUUUCUCUUCGGAGAAAGUGUUUAUAGCCUUUGAUCUCUGCAAUCGGAGAGACUGAGGUCUGCAGCGUAGAUCCUUCGGGGUUAGAUACAUUUGUGCUAAGCUACAGCUUUUCAUAGACAACUUGUUGACUAUGUUUAGUCUUGUGAACUUACCCGCUUAUGCUAUUUUACCUACGCUUAGGAUGUUGAGCGCAUGUCUCUCUCU
rnacentral:rRNA from 1 species